UGCGUAAUACCUGCAAGUCGAGCGAAUGGAUUAAGAGCUUGCUCUUAUGAAGUUAGCGGCGGACGGGUGAGUAACACGUGGGUAACCUGCCCAUAAGACUGGGAUAACUCCGGGAAACCGGGGCUAAUACCGGAUAACACUUUGACCCGCCUGGUUGGAAAUUGAAAGGCGGCUUCGGCUGUCAAUUAUGGAUGGACCCGCGUGGCAUUAGCUAGUUGGUGAGGUAACGGCUCACCAAGGCAACGAUGCGUAGCCGACCUGAGAGGGUGAUCGGCCACUCUGGGACUGACACGCGGCCC
rnacentral:rRNA from 1 species